rnacentral:misc_RNA from 1 species
AAUUCUCAACCAUCCUUUGAUUGAUUUCGAGGGAUGGCUUGGAUCUUGGGAGUUGCUGGCUGCCCCUCGGAGACGGUCGGCUCUCCUUAAAAGCAUUAGCGAAAGGUUGACAAGCCCUGCAUGCACGGCCUUUGACGUGAUAAUGAUCGUCGUGGCUGGAGUGUGAGGCGUAGAUUCGAUCUUUGCUUCCAAAAACAUGGUAUUGGGGGUACUUGCGACCCUUUUUACUUUUUGAC